CUGGUUGAUCUUAUCCGAGGUGCAAGCAAAAUAAAUCAAAACUUCUUGCUACUUGUGCUUGUUUUUUGAGCACAACACUGUUUUUUGAAUUCCAGGAAUAGUCAAUUUCAAUUGACUCUUCAAACAUAUCAACAUUUUGAAAGCCAAAGAAACUUGAAGUGCUUUUCGCUUUAAGAGAUGCGAAGGGAUCGACAUGUAUAGAUGUCAAGGGUCCAUCAAAUACUCAAAUUUUGAAUCAAUUAAAUGCAACCUCAACCAUGAAGCACUUUGGUGAAACAAAAACCAAACAUUUCGUGGUAUCAAAUUGUUCCCAUUGCGGAAAUGCCCAACUGACAAAAAAAAAUCGAUCUGACGACGACAGAUGUCUUUUCAAUUUUCGUCUUAAGCCUCAAGUUCCAGCUGAAAAAAAAGAAAUGAGCAGCAAAAAUUUGUGCCGGACAUGCCGACGUGAGGUUUCACCGGCAACAUGUGGCUCUGGGACGAAGACCGAAGAUCCAGAGGAAGCGCUGAGAACAGGCGAAAAUCGGCAAGUAAAAUGGUUGAGUAAUCAAAUAACCUCUUCUGGCUACCUGCGCAGCUGCAGCUGCCAACGCACUCCUCAGGUGUGUAUGGGCCCGAUUCUUUGUCAUGGCAUGGUAUGGGUUAUGGUAUGGCCCCUGGGAUGUUUGGCCAGUGGAUUAACAUAGCGGGGAGAGGGCAUCAACGAAAUCCCGGGAAGGUGAGGUGGUCGGAAGAACCCAAGCCAAGGCAAGAUGAGAGAGCAAAGACUUGACUACCUGGGCUCACCUCACCACACGCACACGCAGAUACAAAUAUUCCCGCGUUCGGAUACAGAUACAGGUACUGAGAUAACUCACCUUGACGCCAACGCCGCCGCACAAAGAUACAUAGAUACUCACCCAUACCUGGGCAGAUUUUAACGGAAAAAUGAAAGCAAAUCUUCGUUACGAACGCGGCUUGAGGAAAAACCAGUAUUUCUGAAACGGCUCCGAUCGAGGUGUGUAUCUGUUGGAUUCAAGUCUCUCCCAGGGCUUCUCUUUGGCUGCCCGGGUCGCGAAGUCUCUCUUCGAGUUCAAGUUCCAUUCCCCAGUCUUCAAACUUUUUUGCAACCCAACUCGAACUUAAGACUGUUCUUCAGCAUUGCAGUACUGGCUUAAAUGUGCAAUUCGACUAGCAGCGUGGAAAUGGAGCAACAAGCUGCUGUCGGCGGCGGCGGCGGGUCAGGCCAAGCCAACUUAAAGCCAAAUAAAAAAGAGAAAAAACUACAAAAACGGCAGCAGGCAGUCGACUUUACCAAUAAAUCGACCGAAAAAGCAACGGCGAAGAAGGCAUUGACACAAAAGUUUCGUUUUACGGGCAAAAAGGUGACGACGGGUGUCGAGUUGAGUGGCAUGCGGCUAAGGAAAUGCAGGCCCCAAAGUGCAGCCCGUAGAAAGUGCAGCUAGCGAUGCACUUUGGUGGAAAACCACCCCCACCAUUUGUGGGGCAAUUUGGGUAACGCGAUAGGGAAAUGGGAUCGCCAGCAAUGCGGCUUAAUAAAGAAAUCGUUGAAGCUAAAUA